rnacentral:rRNA from 1 species
UACGAAGGGGGCUAGCGUUGUUCGGAAUUACUGGGCGUAAAGCGCACGUAGGCGGUUUUGCCAGUCAGGGGUGAAAUCCCGGGGCUCAACCUCGGAACUGCCUCUGAUACAGCAAGUCUUGAGUCCGGAAGAGGUGGGUGGAAUUCCUAGUGUAGAGGUGAAAUUCGUAGAUAUUAGGAAGAACACCAGUGGCGAAGGCGGCCCACUGGUCCGGUACUGACGCUGAGGUGCGAAAGCGUGGGGAGCAAACAGG